AUGUUAAUAUUUCAAAAUUGUUCGAAAGAGGAUUAGAAUUUAGUGUCAACAAAGUAGCAUGUGCUUUUGCUUUGCAUAGCCUACUGGACAGGGCGAGUUGCUACUCUUUACCACCACAACCUCACUCAGAGUUAGGGGUGUAAAGGUAAAAGUUACAUCACAUAAAACAACUGAAGAAGAGCCACAGAUCCCAACCAGUCAAC
rnacentral:misc_RNA from 1 species